rnacentral:rRNA from 1 species
CAAAAACAUCGCUGUUAGAAGUUUUUAACAGUUUCUUCUGCUCACUGAAUAAUUAAAUAGCCGCAGUACCCUGACUGUGCAAAGGUAGCAUAAUCAAUUGGCUUAUAAUUGAAGUCUAGUAUGAAUGAAAGCAUGUGGAGUCACUGUAUCUCUAAUAUAGCAUGAAAUUAUUAAGCAAGUGCAAAUACUUGCAGAUAAAUAAUAGACGAGAAGACCCUAGAAAUUUUAAGGAUUUGUAUAAUAGAUUUUUGUUGGGGCAACAAUGUAGCAUAAUAAACCUACAUAAUAUACAAGAAAUUAACUUGAUAGAUUAAGUUACUCUAGGGAUAACAGCGUAAUGUUUAAACGAUUGCGACCUCGAUGUUGGACUAGGACACGCACG